rnacentral:lncRNA from 1 species
CGGGUUAUACAUGUAUCAUUGUCCAAAACCUAUUUACAUAUUAUUCAUAUUUACAAUAGAGUGAUCUUUUAACAUCAAAAUCCCAAUCAUGUACUCAUACAAUCAAGUGAUAGAACACAUGUUUUUCUUCCACAUAUCUACUCCCACAGUUCCUUCUCUGGAUGUGGACAGCAUUCUUUCUCCUAAGUUCCGAAGAAUUGUCCUGGAUCAUUGCAUUGCUGCUACUAGAAAAGUUUAUUAUAUCUGAUUGUGCCAAAGUGUAUCAGUCUUUGUGUACAAUGUUCUCCUGAUUCUGCUCCUUUCACUCUGUAUAAGUUCUUGAAGUUCAUUCCAGUUCACAUAGAAAUCCUCCAGUUCAUUCCUGAAAACCAAUCAAAUAUUUUUUUUUUCCAUCUGACUUUCAAAUUAUUCUUUUGUGGAUAGAUGAGAUUUUCCAUGGGCUGUCUAGGAAGCAUGGUUUAGAAAUUCCUCAGUACCUCUAGGAUGACAAACUUUGUUCCAAAGCCAUUUUUAUCAGAAAGAGCUGCCUAUGAAAGACAUUUAACGUGGUCCUCUGUAAACCAUUCAAUUUGUCAAUUGAGAUAGAGGGAAUUGAAUCCAAUUGACUUAUAUUCUCCUUCAGAUUAAAAAAAAAGAUUAUGGGAUAUUUAAUGAGGGUUACUGUAGAAUUUCACAGUUUAUUACAACAAUUGCAUAUUAAAUUUUAGUGUCCAGUAAUGUUCAAUAAUUUCCAUGGCCAAUAAAUAUUGCAGUACUCCAAGCUCCUGGGAAUGUUCCUUUAGUCAGGUUGAGACAUUUAAGAGGUGAUAAUAACUGAACCAAGGUAAAUUGGUAUUUACUCCUAACCUGUUCUGGUCUUAUUUGUAUUUUGUCCUAUCUUCUGCUAAGUUGUCCUUCCUUCAUGUCUCCAUUAAUUCUAAGAUUCUAGGUGAUCACUCACCAUGAGGACUCUCUACCUGAUGUAUAUGGUGCUUUUUUUGGUAUUACCCUAUGCUGUCAAAGGUGGUCCUGGAUCUCCCUUUCUUGAAACAUAUGAAAAUGAAGACUUUUAUAUGUGUCGGAUUAUGGGUGGCCGUUGUUUGUCAGAAUGUCCAGUAGAGUACUUUCUUGGUGGCUACUGUCAGGAUUUUGACAUAUUUUGCUGUGUGCCUUAGAAAACAGAAACAGAAAAGAACAGUGCAUCCAGACUCUGUGGUACAGAAGAGUGAGAGUAUAAAACAGGGGAGAAGUUGAAAUGCAUGGAAUAUAUUAUGUUUGUUUAAAUAAAG